UUAAGUUCAGCGGGUAGUCUUGCCUGAUUUGAGAUCAUUGUAAAAGUGGGAUGGAUUGGUCGAUCAAUGGAAUGGCUCCCUUGUCACGAACAACCCGUGCAUGAAUUCAAGACGAUCAGUGAUGAAGGUCCAUGUGUCUUGACCAACAGCGACCAGAUGAAUGUGAUCGAAUGUGGAUCAAACGGGAUAAAAUGAUUCUC
rnacentral:misc_RNA from 1 species